UACGUAGGGUGCGAGCGUUAAUCGGAAUUACUGGGCGUAAAGCGUGCGCAGGCGGUUUUGUAAGCCAGAUGUGAAAGCCCCGGGCUCAACCUGGGAAUGGCAUUUGGGACUGCAAGGCUGGAGUUUGGCAGAGGAGACUGGAAUUCCUGGUGUAGCAGUGAAAUGCGUAGAUAUCAGGAGGAAUACCGAUGGCGAAGGCAGGUCUCUGGGCUAUAACUGACGCUCAUGCACGAAAGGCGUGGGGAGCAAACAAGG
rnacentral:rRNA from 1 species